ACUCAAAUGAAUAGACGGGGGCCCGCACAAGCGGUGGAGCAUGUGGUUCAAUUCGACGCAACGCGAAGAACCUUACCUGGACUCGAAAUCUAGUCGACCGUCUCAGAGAUGAGAUUUUCCCGCAAGGGACGGCUGGAUAGGUGCUGCAUGGCUGUCGUCAGCUCGUGUCGUGAGAUGUUGGGUUAAGUCCCGCAACGAGCGCAACCCUUACCCUUAGUUGCUCAUCCGCAAGGAAAGCACCCUAAGGGAACUGCCUCGGAUAACGAGGAGGAAGGUGGGGAUGACGUCAAGUCCUCAUGGCCUUUAUGCCCAGGGCUACACACGUGCUACAAUGGCCGGUACAAAACGUCGCAAACCCGCGAGGGGGAGCCAAUCGUCAAAAACCGGUCUCAGUUCGGAUUGCAGGCUGCAACUCGCCUGCAUGAAGCUGGAAUCGCUAGUAAUCGCGUAUCAGAACGACGCGGUGAAUACGUUCCCGGGCCUUGUACACACCGCCCGU
rnacentral:rRNA from 1 species